rnacentral:misc_RNA from 1 species
UGUCCUUUGGAAGGGAUGAGAGACGGUGGCCGAGAGGCUCACAUCAAAAUGGCCGCAUUUUAGUCUACAGACGAUUUUUCUUUACUGUUUGCCAAUAGCCGCGUAAAGGGCCUGGCAGUGUUUCUUAAAGUGGCAAAUCUGUUUCGCUGGAAAUUUCGCCGUUGAAUAACUUGAAAAUUUUCGUGAAAUAGAAUAAACUUCGGUUUUGCAUAAUAUUUUACAUGAUGUUACGCCAUCAACAUCAUACAAUGCAAAACCAACUUCGAGAUCAUAACAGAAUGGGUGGUCCGAUGCGUCCCAUGCAGCAGGCAAAUAUGGCCCCUUUACAUCAGCCGCAGCAUCCGUUAUCGCAUCGGAAUCCACAUCAACCAAUACUGUCCAUGCCCCCCCAUCAACAACAUAUUCAUCAUAUGCAGCACCCUGGACCUCCUCAUGGAAAUCCACGGCAACCAAUGUUGAUGGGCAUGAAUGCGCAUAAUGUGAAUGGUACUAUGGUUAGCGUUAGUUUAAAAGAUCAAGCAAAUACUGUCUCUGUGACUCUACAGAAUCCAAACGUUCAGCCACCACAGUAUCAACUGCAGCAGAAUAAUCAACCAACUCCUCCACCACCACAACAACAUGUUCAUCAAUCGCAAAGUAUAGAACCGAAUAAACCACCAGCAAAUGAUACUAACAAUGGAGAGUCCAGAGAUCAGAAUUCACCUACACAGAAUCACGUUAAUGUGACUGAUUCAGCUUUGGCAAACAUGAAAGAAAAAACACCAAUGUGCUUAUUAAAUGAGUUAGCACGUUUUAAUAAAAUUCAGCAUCAAUAUAGGUUGACUAAUGAACAAGGACCAGCGCACAAGAAACGAUUUACGGUAACAUUGAAGCUAGGACAGGAAGAGUACGUUGCUGAAGGUCCUAGUAUAAAGAAGGCUCAACAUAGUGCUGCGACCGAAGCGCUAACAAAAACAUGGUAUCGAAGGCCUUUACCGAAACCUAGGAAAGCAAUGAGGGUUGGCCAUCCAGGGAAAUGUUUCAGUGGUUCUGGAAAUCUACCGCCAACCGUUGAAUUAAAUGCUUUGGCUAUGAAAAGAGGGGAACCUACUGUUUAUAGUUUUCUAUUGGCUCCAGUACCAGGGUCACAGCCAUAUCUUGCACAUAAUUUAGGGCAUCUUCCUCGAAUAUUUAAUCCACGUUUUCCUACAUACAAUCGUGGUUUUCAUGCUGAGCCUCAAUUGUAUAUUGUAUCAUUAAAGGUAGGAGAACGUGAAUUUAUUGGUAGAGGAAUAACAGGCCAGGCAGCACGACACAAUGCAGCAAGUAAAGCUUUAGAGCAAUUGCGUCAAUUGCCAAUACCGGAAGAAGUAGCGAAUACUUGUACCACCGGUGAGAACGGUACAUUAGGUGAAACUAAGGAUCCGAUUGCUGAAUUGAAAAGCCCUGUUUCAUUGGUCUAUGAGAAAGCAUUGAAACAUGGUUUACCCGUUAGUUUUGAAGUUGUAUCAGAAAUCGGUAAACCUCAUAUACGGACAUUCAGAACAAAAUGUACUGUUGGAGAUAAAGUUACGUUCGGAGAAGGACCUUCAAAGAAAGUAUCUAAAAGACACGCGGCAGAGUUCAUGCUUGAAGAGCUAAGUCGUCUGCCUCCAUUGCCCGAAACUAUUCAAAAUCGUCCAAGGCGAAUGAAACGUAAACCGCCAGCAACGAAAAAAAAGUCACGAAAUCUGAUAAAAGAUUAUCAGGAACCACGAUCUGAAGCCGAGGGUACUGAAGAAGUUAAUCCAGUUUCUCGAUUGGUUCAGAUACAGCAAGCUAAGCGAGAAAAAGAACCUGUUUAUAAUUUGAUCGAAGAAAAAGGUGCAUCAAGACGAAGGGAAUUCGUUAUUGAAGUAACUAUGGGACAACAUUCCGCACAAGGAAUAGGUCCUAACAAGAAGUUAGCUAAAAGAGCCGCAGCAGAGGCUCUUCUAACUCAAUUAGGUUACAGCAAACCACAACCGCAACCCACAAAGCCAUCGAUUAAAACAGGAGAAAGCGAAAAUACCGAACAGAAACCUAGGAAAGUCACUUUCUUAGAAGAUGAACAAAUCAAUGAAACUCAAUCUCAUCAACCAGUGGGAGGAACAAUUGGACGUCAGUUAGUACCUGGACUAUUAUUAGUGGAUGGAGGUCAGGAAUCUAAAUUAGGCAGUGGACCUAGUGUACAGAUUGUUGCUGAAGAACUGCGAGGACAACAGCAACAAAAUCCAGCCACUGUUUCUCCCAAAGAUCAAUUGAAAUAUCUCUCUCAAUUAUUUAACUUCAGCGUGGAAUUCAAUGAUUUUCCUAAGGGAGCAGUAAAUAAGGAAUAUCUGUCGCUUGUAACAUUAAGUACAGAUCCUCCACAAGUGUGUCAUGGUAAUGGACCGACAAGAACUGCAAGCCGUAAUCAAGCUGCGUUGAAAGCUUUGCGUACAUUAAGUAAGCUGGGUCUCGAUAAUGGAUCCAAUUCACAACCGAAAAAGGAUAAAGGUGCGUCUGGAGAUGGCAUACACAUUAGCAUUCAAGUUAAAAACAAUAUAAUGGAUGGAACUAUUGAUAAUUGUUGAAUGAACUAUUCGGAGGGAAAAUGACUCUUCUCAAUCUAUCUCUCUGGGCCUUAUUACACGAUCAGUAGCUUUUUAUGAAGAAUCAGUCUUUUGCAGUGCCUUAAUUGCACGAAGAAAAUGCUCAAGCACCAAUAAAGAUGGAUCACUGAUAAACGUUCAGAAAUAUUUUUCUUCCCUUUUUUUACAAGAAAUAAUCGAUUGCAGUAAUCCUUGGAAGUAGAAUGUCUGUGACGAUUAGAAGUGUGGUAAAAAAACGUAAGUUUCGCUUAUAUAAUUUAAUUUAGUUUUUUGCGCUUGGAAAUAUAGUAUUGUUGAAACGAGAAAAAUUAUUGGUGCUUGAUCAGAAUUGUGAUCCUAACAGUGAUCAUCGAUUCUAUUUAUUAUAACAGUUUCAUUGAUAGGAUCACGAUCAAUGAACGUAAAUUGUUUCAAUUUCGUAAUUGAAAUGAUCAUUUUCCAAAUAUCGUGGUUUAUGAUCAUGAAAACAUCGUAGAAACAACAUUAAGUGAGAAUAUUGAAAUCUGAGAUGAAAUGCGGCCAUCUCUUAAUUUCUCUAUUUAAUCCUUGGCUUUCUCAUUUCUUGCGAAUAGAAUGUCUGUUAUAUCUUAUUACCUAAUACGAGCACGCACCGAUCAGCGAAAUAAUUCAUGGAUCUAAGAAUGACUUAAACGUGAGUCAUCUUAUCGUGUACCAGAAUAUUUCGUCGUUUUAAACUUUCAAUGAUGAUUGUGUUAAAAUUGUGUAUAACAAUUGAUACAAAAAAUGCGCAUCUCUUCAAAACAAGAGCUAGAAGUUUCAGAGAGUUACGUGUAUUAAGCGUCUUCAACUGAGUAAUUAAUUGUUUAUAAUUUGUAACAAAGAUAUAAACAGGUCAAUACUUUUGACCUUUAUCUCUUUGUUCAUUGAUAAUGCUAUAAUCUUAAUUGAAAUAUUAAGAGUAAAUAAGUGACAAAACAUGCGAUAAAAAUUUAGAAACUGGUUGGAGACUCUUUGAACGUAAUCAAUUAUAGAUUAACAAAUUUCUGUUUUCAAAUUUGUAACAUUGAAAAAAGGUAACGUGAUACGUUCAUAUUACUGCCCCAAUUUGCUUUUCUACGGGGCCUAGAAGCACUCUGGGGUCAUAUUCGUGUUUUACAAGGUAUUGAGAAGUAAAGGACAUUCAAAUUUUCAUACAUCCGUUAUCCAGAAGAGAGAGAAAAAAAGAAAAAAAAAAGAAAAAACUUACAGAUAAUAUGGAUGUAUUGGAAAUUGUAGUCAAGGCGGUAAUAAUUCAAAAUUUGUCCCGUUGCGACACGAUUAUUAAGAAGGCACAAUUUGAUUUUAUCCUAAUCAAGAAAACGAUAAAACAACGUUGUCGAAUUUUGUCUUAUUGCCGACAAUUUAUAACGAUACUAAGAUAAUGCUGGAGAAAAGAGGAGUAUCCGAUAAUGAAUGAAGAUAAUGUUAAGAGAUAGAUUUCGUUUCAUCUUCGCUUAAAAACAAGGAAGAAUACGAUAUCGUAUUUCUUUAAAAAAAAGGCUUAUCUUACAUUCAUUAUCCUCAUUACAUUAUUCAAUAGGAUUUUUUGAAUGUUAACGAACCGUAAAAAAACGUAUACAAACGAUUGUUAAAUUUCAGUAAUAUAUAAUCAUAGAGAUAUAAGAAUUGAAUGUGUGAACGGGCUGAAAAAGUGAUACAUAUAGGAGUAGAAAAAGAACGCUGUUUAUGGAUUUCUUUUGUGUCUUCGUCACAUAAUGAUGCUCAUUGCGUUACAUUGUGCAAUUCAAAGUUAAAUUUAUUAUUUAUGUAAUUCACGUUUCAUUAAACUGUGGAGCGUUUCUACUCUGUAGAGAUUCGUAAUCGUCGCCAAUGAACGAGUGUGCAUGUGUAAUUAAACAGGAACAUAAGAAGACCACACACAGUGUCCCUUUUCUAGCAUAUGAUUCGCACAUUCUGUUCUUAUAUUUCUAUGUGUAUAUGAUUGAUUGCUUACCCCACAAUCUGUAAAGAAAGAGAAGGAUUGCCUGUAUUAUUAUAAAUACUUUUUUUCUUUCAGAUAACCUUUCGUAACGCGAUACCUUCCGAAAUAAUUUAUAGGUUGCUCGAGGACGAGUUAAUGAAUGUUCCUUUUUCUGAGAUAUCGCUUCAUAGGUGGGCCUUCCUUCUUCACGUGGGAUUCACUGUUCCGAAUAAAAGAAAUAAAUGGAAAAAAUACUAACGACAGCAUGUUUCUCAUAGUUUGUUUAUUUUUUAUUUUUUAUUUUAUUUUCAAUAAAAUGAAACAUGAAUCCUACGAAGAUGUAACCCUGUUGCAGGACCUAUUUUAUCCGCGUAAACUGUAAUACAAUAGUUAGUCGUAACAAUAAGUGAAUAAAGUAUUAAUUACUAAGAUGUGUGAGAUGGAAGUAUCUCGAAGGAAUAUGGAAAUAAAUGUGAUUCCGAGAGAUAACAAAUAAUAAAAGAAGAGGUCAUGUUCUAAA